rnacentral:rRNA from 1 species
GAGUUUGAUCCUGGCUCAGGAUGAACGCUGGCGGCGUGCUUAACACAUGCAAGUCGAACGGAGAUGUACGCUGAAGAAGCUUCGGUGGAUUCUUGUGCAUCUUAGUGGCGAACGGGUGAGUAACACGUGGGCAACCUGCCCAAAAGAGGGGGAUAACACUUGGAAACAGGUGCUAAUACCGCAUAACCAUAGUUACCGCAUGGUAGCUAUGUAAAAGGUGGCUAUGCUACCGCUUUUGGAUGGGCCCGCGGCGCAUUAGCUAGUUGGUGGGGUAAAGGCUUACCAAGGCAAUGAUGCGUAGCCGAACUGAGAGGUUGAUCGGCCACAUUGGGACUGAGACACGGCCCAAACUCCUACGGGAGGCAGCAGUAGGGAAUCUUCCACAAUGGGCGAAAGCCUGAUGGAGCAACGCCGCGUGGGUGAAGAAGGUCUUCGGAUCGUAAAACCCUGUUGUUAGAGAAGAAAGUGCGUGAGAGUAACUGUUCACGUUUCGACGGUAUCUAACCAGAAAGCCACGGCUAACUACGUGCCAGCAGCCGCGGU